UACGUAAUUGUCCAUGCUCCAUAGCCUUUACCUAACACCCACUGAUGAGCUGCUCAUAUAUAUAUCACAUACCUAACCCGGUAGACAUCAAAGCUCUUCCUUUUCACCGGUCACUCUCCACUCCUUUUUGCUCUAAAGAUACACAACCAUUUCAUAUCUCUACUUCCUGGUUCCCACCAUCUCCACCCAAGUAAGAAAUCGAGAUGAAUAAACCAAGAAAAAAAAAAUGAAACACUUUUAUUGCUAGGUCAUUUAUUGCCCUCUAAGAGUCAAUCAUGUGGUCACACGAAAUAUAAUUGAUUUGUCUACUUUAGAAGGAAAUUUAGUGAUAUUGGUUAAGUCUUGUGUGUCCUAGCUAGGUCUGCAAGGCAACAAUAGUGAAAAUAUAAUGCUGGUUUGGGAGAGCGGCGAGGCUAACUUUAAGACAACACCGAUAGCAGGAUACAUGGAGAGAAACCAAAAAAGUACGCACAAUAGGAGCUAAUCCCUCGUCGAGAAGGCUUUGUUUUGCCAAUAUAUGGGCUGCCCAAUUCAACAUCCUGUAUAUUGACAUAUACAAAAAAAAAAAAAAAAAAAACCUUCCAAAA